ensembl:lncRNA
AAAAAAUGUUCUAAAAUUUCCCAAAAAUGUUGAAAAUGUGGACAUCAGAAGUUUCACCGUGAAAAUAUUUUUUUCCACAUUUUCAAACGUUAAAACGGGUCAAUUUGAGCUGCAGGACGACACGAGGGUUAAUUUGCUUAACUUUUCAGAUUGUCAGUGUAGGAUAUACACUCACUCACUGUUAGCUCCUGCUGCUAUUUACCUCUUCAAAGCAGUGCUCUAAUUAUCUCCUUUGUUUUAAAUUAAGUCUGAUUUUUGUCUUAACUGAUGAGAUCUUUUCUAGAGCACUUUGCCUUUCUAGUCUUCCUUUCUGCCUACAUUAGUCACUACGUUGCUAACGCAGAGAUUUGUCCUGCUUUGCUAGUCUCAGUCAUGCGCGCUACUUUUCAGACUCAUCAGUAUGUUUGUUCAGCUCAAUCUGGUGGCUGCUGACUUUGUGUUUGCUGCGUUUGAACACUUGAGGGCGUCCUGAGAUCAGCAGCAGAAACACAAGGAUAAAAACUGACAGGAGCUGUGUGACGCUCAAAUGAAGGAAGGAGGUGCAGGGACAUUUUGUGCCACUAAGCCAAAGAUUUGUUAUGAGUAUUUUUAAGAUGUGUCUAAGGCGUUAAUCCAAUCAGCCAUGUCUUACAGUAUUUGACUGACUGACUUGUUGUCAAUUUGGGAGUGCAAAGAGUUUCUAUUUAUGUUGUGAAUGAAUUGCGAUAAAGUGUGAGGAAUCCAAGGAUGGUUUUUGUACAAUCCGGUUUAAAGGAUUGUGGAUCUAUUGAUUCGUAUAAAUCAUAUUAUACUAUAAAGAAAAAAAAAACAAGCAUUGGGAUAUCUUUCUCUUACUAUAAUCUGAUUUUUUUUCCUCAAAUCUUUGUACUAUAUUUUGAACCAAGAAGUAAAUUCCAGCUGUGGAAAUGUCAUUUUUGUUGACAAAACUUAAUCAGCUGUGAAGAUUAAAUUCCAAACCAGCAAAUUCAAUAUGGAGUAAAAGGAAUUACCAGAUAUAAUAUUAAACAGCUGUCAGACAAAACUGUAUUUAAACAAUUAUCUGAGCAACAAAGUAUGUUAAAAGUCAAGGGAGCCAUAAACCUUAGAUCAUCACCAAAUUGUUGUUUUAUGAGAUUUAUUGCAGAUGAAGAAAUGCAAUCAGCAUUAAUGGCAUGUGCUGAUUUGACACUGUGGAGAUAUUUGAAGUAUGUUACGGGGUUGUUUUGUCCAUUAGGAAACACUCGGAAGCCUUUCGAAGGCACGUUCAAGCUUUUAAUAUUUAGAUUUUAAAUGUUUGUUGCACAUUUAACCAACAUGCAGCUCAUCAGUUGAGUUUUUCUGCUGUCACCUGUCAUGUAUCCAGGACCCAGGGAUCUAAAUGAUGAAUCAUUCUGAAGGAUGUAGGAUUGUGCCAGAUGUGGUUCGCUAUUUACACUUUCUUUUUAAGUUUGUGCUUCAAUAUCCAGCAGAAUCAUGUAAAAAAAAAUGUACACUCCUUUAAGUAAAAUGCUGCACAUAGAACAUUUAUUAAGCCAGGAGCUUGUAAAUUUGCAGCUCAUCAGACUGUUUAAAUCAGUAUAUAAGACUUAAUUUCUGAUCUUUUUGCUCAUUUGGUUUAAAAUCUCAUAUCCACAUGGUGUUUUUUUUUUUUUUUUUUUAAUCAAAUUCAAUUUAAAUCAAUAAAACUUGAAACUCUGAUUUUGCAAAUUCCGUCACCUUCCAACUUUUUUUGCCUGCGUUUACUAUUAAAUAAAGUAAAAAAGGGUGAGAAGAGGGAAGAGCGCCACCCAGACGGGACCUGACGAGCAGUGUUUGAAUACUCCCUGUGUUAUCCUUCAGCGCCCUGACACCCGCCCUCCCUCACCCACGCAGCAGCACACUUCCUCGGACACCUGUUUCUCCGGCUCUUUCAGCUCUUCAAGGAAUUUGCAUCUCAAAUGGGGCGAAUUCCCACAGCAGCGUCCAAAGCGC